UAUAUAACAAAUACCCCAAAAGUUAGUGGCUUAAAAAACCAAGUAUUUAUUAAUUCAUAGUUUCUGUUGGUGAGGAAUGUAGGCAAGGCCUACCUGGGUUCUCUGCUCCAAGGUCUCUCACAAGGCUGCAAUUAAGGUGUCAGCUGGGGCUGGGGUCUCAUCUGAAGGCUUGACUGGGGAAAUACACACUUCUUCGAUCACUUCUACAGUUGCUGGCUGGAUGCAGUUCCUCAAGGCCUGUUGGACUGAGAGCCUCAAUUCCUGGAUGGCUCCAUCCAGGAAUUGAGGCUCUCAGUCCAACAGGCCUUGAGGAACUGCAUCCAGCCAGCAACUGUAGAAGUGAGCAAAGAAGUGUGUAUUUCCCCAGUCAAGCCUUCAGCUGAGACCCCAGCCCCAGCUGACACCUUAAUUGCAGCCUUGUGAGAGACCUUGGAGCAGAGAACCCAGACAGAUUAACACCCCACAUAUAACAGAUUCUUCGGCGGGACCCACCCAGUUCCUGGACCCUGCCCUGGCCACUCCAGUGUCCACAAUCGCAAAACCCAUCCAUACACACACCUGCACUGACUGCUCACCUGUGAGAUACUCAGGAAUCAGCAACGUUUUCUAAAUGAAGGUAAGUUACGGUUUUCAGGAAAAUAUUCCUAUCUCUGGUCCUUUUCAGAGCUGCGAGUUCUCUCCUCCCUUCUGCUCCAGGAAAGGUAGAGGAAGGGGAAGGGUGGACUG
rnacentral:lncRNA from 1 species